rnacentral:lncRNA from 1 species
AUUUUUUUAAUUAAUAACUCAUUUAUAUAUAAUAUAAACAUCAACUAAUUUUUUAUUUAUAUAUUUUUCUUCAUAUAUAAUAUUUACACGUCAAAUAUUUAUUUUCUCCAUUUAUAUUAUAUGUACAGUGAUUUCUAAAUAUAAUAUUAUAAAAUGAAAUAGUCAAAGCUUUCCAACAUUUACUUGUCGAUUAAUUUUGAUGCGGCUUAUAAUCAAAGUUUGGCGAAAUUUGGAUCGAGAAUGGUUGUUCGUAACUCUCAAGGUGAGAUUUUGGCUUCAAAAUAGACAUUGCACAAGGAGAUCGCAUUGCCGUUUGUAGCGGAAGGAUAUGCUUGCCUUCAGGCGUUGCUUUUGGGAACCUAUCUGGGCCUCUCAUCAAUUACCAUAGAAGGAGAUGCAAGAACCAUUAUUAAAAAAAGUCAGUCAGACAUUCUAGAUGAAUCGGUGAUAGGGGCGAUUAUUUGAGAAAUACAACAGCUGAAAAAGAGUUUUCAUAGUAUCAUGUUCAAACAAAUACCCAGAUUUGCUAAUAUCCUAGCACAUAGUUUAGCCACGGAUUGCUUAAAGAAUGGAAGAGAGAGUUACCUAAUUGGAAGUGUGUUGGUGGUCGUCGAUGAUGGAUUAUGGAGGAGGAGGAGGAGGAGGGAACCGGAUUGACAGAAGAGGAAGAGAUAGGCUUUGGGGAGAGGAAUGGGCAGUAAAUGGUUUUGAUUUUGGAAGGCUGCUGGUUUUGGAAACUAGUACCGACAAGUUUUGAGGGUUUGGAUAUUUUCUAAGGAGUGGGUGCCAGCUACUUUGCAGACUGGGGAAGUGUCUUUGUGCGUUUCGUUUUAUUUUUUUGUGUUUUUUAUGGGCUUCGUUAUCUUUUGGAAUAUGUUUUUCUGAUUUUCUUUGGAUUGGGUUUUUGUGGCUAGUGUUUGUUUUGUGAGUUGUCACUUUUGUGUUUUUUUUUCCAGUUAUUUUUGUCUUAUAAAAUCCAGUCAAUUUUCUUUAAGAAAAUUGAAUGUUCAAAUGUACCAAAUACUCACUUAAAAAAAAUUAAAGUUAUUUAUGUUUAAAAUUUUAAUAAAAAUAUUAAAUUAAAAAUAGUAUAUAAU